AUUGAACACUGGCGGAAUGCUUCACAAAUGCAAGUCGAACGGCAGCACGGACUUCGGUCUGGUGGCGAGUGGCGAACGGGUGAGUAAUGUAUCGGAACGUGCCCAGUCGUGGGGGAUAACGUAGUGAAAAUUACGCUAAUACCGCAUACGAUCUAGGGAUGAAAGCGGGGGAUCGCAAGACCUCGCGCGAUUGGAGCGGCCGAUAUCAGAUUAGGUAGUUGGUGGGGUAAAGGCCCACCAAGCCAACGAUCUGUAGCUGGUCUGAGAGGACUACCAACCACACUAGACCUGAGACACGGUCCAGACUCCUCCGGGAGGCAGCAGUGGGGAAUUUUGGACAAUGGGCGAAAGCCUGAUCCAGCCAUUCCGCGUGCAGGAUGAAGGCCCUCGGGUUGUAAACUGCUUUUGUACAGAACGAAAAUGUUUCUACGAAUACGAGGAGCUCAUGACGGUACUGUAAGAAUAAGCACCGGCUAACUACGUGCCAGCAGCCGCCGUAA
rnacentral:rRNA from 1 species